GUGCCUACGGGAGGCAGCAGUGAGGAAUAUUGGUCAAUGGGCGGAAGCCUGAACCAGCCAAGUCGCGUGAGGGAAGAAGGCCCUGCGGGUCGCAGACCUCUUUGGACGGGGAGCAAGGCCGCCGACGUGUCGGCGGAAGGAGAGUACCCGUAGAACAAGCAUCGGCUAACUACGUGCCAGCAGCCGCGGUAAUACGUAGGUGGCAAGCGUUAUCCGGAUUUACUGGGUGUAAAGGGCGUGUAGGCGGGACUGCAAGGCAGAUGUGAAAACCACGGGCUCAACCUGUGGCCUGCAUUUGAAACUGG
rnacentral:rRNA from 1 species